CCUACGGGAGGCAGCAGUGGGGAAUAUUGCACAAUGGGGGAAACCCUGAUGCAGCGACGCCGCGUGAGUGAAGAAGUAUUUCGGUAUGUAAAGCUCUAUUAGCAGGGAAGAAAAUGACGGUACCUGAUUAAGAAGCCCCGGCUAACUCCGUGCCAGCAGCCGCGGUAAUACGGAGGGGGCAAGCGUUAUCCGGAUUGACUGGGUGGAAAGGGAGCGUAGACGGCAGCACAAGUCUGGAGUGAAAUGCCGGGGCUUAACCCCGGAACUGCUUUUGAAACUGUGCAGCUAGAGUGUAGGAGAGGUAAGUGGAAUUCCUGGUGUAGCGGUGAAAUGCGUAGAGAUUAGGAGGAACACCAGUGGCGAAGGCGGCUUACUAGACUAUAACUGACGUUGAGGCUCGAAAGCGUGGGGAGCAAACAGGAUUAGAUACCCCAGUAGUC
rnacentral:rRNA from 1 species